rnacentral:rRNA from 1 species
UAGUAACUGCGAGUGAACCGGGAUGAGCUCAAAUUUAAAAUCUGGCGGUUCUGCCGUCCGAGUUGUAAUCUGGAGAAGCGUUUUCCGCGUCGGACCGUGUACAAGUCUCUUGGAAUAGAGCGUCAUAGAGGGUGAGAAUCCCGUCCAUGACACGGACUCCCGGUGCUUUGUGAUACGCUCUCAAAGAGUCGAGUUGUUUGGGAAUGCAGCUCAAAAUGGGUGGUAAAUUCCAUCUAAAGCUAAAUAUUGGCGAGAGACCGAUAGCGAACAAGUACCGUGAGGGAAAGAUGAAAAGCACUUUGGAAAGAGAGUUAAACAGUACGUGAAAUUGUUGAAAGGGAAACGCUUGAAGUCAGUCGCGUCGUACGGAGCUCAGCCUUGCUUCUGCUUGGUGUAUUCUCCGUGUCGACGGGUCAACGUCAAUUUUGACCGGUGGAAAAGGGCCUAGGGAAUGUGGCGUUGUUUCGGCGACGUGUUAUAGCCUUAGGUCGUAUGCAUCGGUUGGGAUUGAGGACCGCAGCACGCCCUUGUGGCCGAGGGUUCGCCCUACGUUCGUGCUUAGGAUGUUGGCAAAAUGGCUUUAAGCGACCCGUCUUGAAACACGGACCAAGGAGUCUAACAUGCCUGCGAGUGUUCGGGUGGAAAACCCUUGCGCGUAAUGAAAGUGAAAGUUGGGAUCCUUCGUAAGGGGGUGCACCGACGCCCGGCCCUGAAGUUCUCUGACGGUGCUGCGGUAGAGCAUGUAUGUUGGGACCCGAAAGAUGGUGAACUAUGCCUGAAUAGGGUGAAGCCAGAGGAAACUCUGGUGGAGGCUCGUAGCGAUUCUGACGUGCAAAUCGAUCGUCAAAUUUGGGUAUAGGGGCGAAAGACUAAUCGAACCAUCUAGUAGCU